rnacentral:rRNA from 1 species
UACGGGAGGCAGCAGUGGGGAAUAUUGGACAAUGGGCGAAAGCCUGAUCCAGCAAUACCGGGUGAGUGAUGACGGCUUUAGGGUUGUAAAGCUCUUUUAGUGGAAAAGAUAAUGACGGUAUCCACAGAAAAAGCACCGGCUAACUUCGUGCCAGCAGCCGCGGUAAU